CAGAUUUACCAGCUUGUUUACUGCUUCUCUUGAUGAAGGAGAACAGGCUAACCCAACAGCCAGAGGCAGGAACUAUAGCAAAAAAUGUCGGGGGAACUCCCAAUCUAUCAUUUCACUGGUGCCAGUAAUUCAGCAAGAUCCAUGGCACUACAGCAUUUGCUAUGCUUAAACAAACAUCCAGUUAAACUUGAUGGUGGUGUAGACAAUGGAUGCUCAGCAGAGAACCUGACAUCACUCCUGAAGUGGCAGAAAUGCGUUGUUCACUUACCUUCCUGAAAGAAUGGUUUAAUAAUUCAUCUAGAAGUAUUUUCCCUCAGAAAAUAAUUCACUGGUGAAUAAUGAGAGAAUGGUUUCAGUGUUAUACAAGAGCAUGUGCUCUGUGCAAUUGUUAGAGGGAGAAAAUCACUUCAGCGAGGGCUCAGCCCAAGCAUUCUACACCAUUACGUUUGAUGGUGCCACUCAAAGCAGUGCCAUACAGUCUUGACCACGCGAAACAAGAAGCCAUAAAGCCCCAUGCUCUUGGCAGGCAAGGGGGAUUACUUUAAAUCUGAGGAUAAUUUUUUUUUCAGGAAAAACUGAAGGCUGAUUUAUUUUACAGAGAUCUCUGUGCUACAUUGCCUGUGCUUGUUUGCGUGCAGCUUGCUCAUGUCAUGUGCUGGACCACACUGGGGACAUAGAUACAUCCUAAUGGCACAUAUAAGGAGAGUUCUUUCCAGGAAGGAAGGACAACAGGAGGUUUGAGAAAGAAGCUCCACACAGCUCUGGUCCAAAGUCACAGAAGGAGAGGAACCAGAAAGAAGGGAAGAACCAGGAUCUCAAAACUAUUCAGUCACAGCAGCGCUUCCUGAGCCGAGUCUCACAUCAUGUGGAAUACCCUGAUUUGAUCUAACUGCAAGGAACAGUUUCCCACUUUUAUACAUGGAGGUAUUUUGGAAGAGGGUUUUGUUUUUGUUUUAAAUGCAACCCUGCUGUUCCAGCUCACAUUUUGUUUUCCCUAAGAGAAAAGAAAAACAACUGGAAAAUGGAUAAGAACUGCAUUGUUCCAAUCCCUACUUUCUGCCAUUUCAGUUAAUUACUGUAUUGCAGAAGUUGGUGACACUUUUCAAGAAACUGAAGUGAGCUGACCAUUGUGAAGGAAGAGAGGCUGACAGCAGAAGAGAGAGGCAAAGGGAUAAUGCCCCAGAGGCAGAAAAAAGCCAUGAGCAAAUUGAAUUACCACAACCCAUCCCAGUGAGUCCUCUGCCCUCUCUUGUCUACCUCACUUUGCUCAUUUAACCUAAAGAAAGACUUGUAGUACUGUAAAAGAGUAAAAUCUAUCCCUAUAACAGACAGUGUGACUUAGACGCAUGAGGACAGCCUUUGGGCCUUGUAUUCCAGCUAUACAGGCAGCACUUCCAUGUGGGAGCAAGGCGGAUGUGGUACCCACCCUAUCUGCAGGACAUAGGCUGCAGCCAUCUAUGCCCUUGUGGCCCUAUCUUGGCUUGAUGAAUUCCUCUCCACCUCAUCCUCUAUCUUGUCAGUGCUGAGCAUCAUGAUGUUAAGCCUAUUGGAAUACUUGUCUUAAAUCACAUGGAAAUAUAAAGCUUCUUCUCACAGGUGAAAUUCAGAGGCAAACACAAAGACCUGCCUGGUGCUUACAAGCUUCAUUACAACUUGUGCUGGCCAUGAUGGUCUCCCACUCCAAAGGAAGUGCCUAUAGAGCUGUGCAAAACUCAUCCCAUCCUGCUGAGAAUUUUCAGAUCUCAGAUUUUGCUUUGUCACCAACACAAAGAAAGCCGACCAGCUCUCCUCAGUGCCUGUGCCUGUUCAGGCUGCUCCCCUUAUUGAUGGGAGAAGGUGCUUCUGCUGAGGGACCUGUCUCACUGGAGGUAAAGAUGGAUGCAGAUCAAGCUGAUGUCAAGACUCCCAGAGCCCUAGUUUUCCUCUAGCUUCUGCUCCUGACAGCUGGGAGGGAAUGGGGAGCAGCCACCCCAGAACACUGAGUAAUUAUUUGCCUCUCUUGAACAAAUUGGAAGGAAGCUAGACAUUUUGUGAUGGAAAUUUUUCAGCUUCCCAUACAUUCCUCAGUAAAGUCAUGCCAUCCAUGUGGAAAGUUUUGAUUGUGACUCGUCAAUGAAGAAACAUGCCAUUGAGUAAUUGCUGUCCUGGCUUUAUUUGCAGUUGUCCUUCUUUUUGAACAUUAAUGAGAAAGCAACCUUAUGAGUCAGAAGCAGUUGGUGGGAGAGAACUUAACUGAGCUUACCUUUACUUCUUGUACUUGUAACUCAGAUAAGAUUCGAUGACCUCUUUCUCUUCUGUCUGCCUAGACCAUUCCCCAUCUCCAGCUGUGGACUAGCAGAUAGCUAGAAAUGGGUUGAUGCUCAUCUUAACCAAAACAGAGAUGUCAGGGGAAAAAAAAAAAAAAAAAAAAAAAAAGAAGAAGUAUUG
rnacentral:lncRNA from 1 species